rnacentral:hammerhead_ribozyme from 1 species
AUUCAGCUGAAGAGUCCCAAAUAGGAUGAAACGUGCGUCCUGGAC